rnacentral:rRNA from 1 species
AGUGAACGCUGGCGGUAGGCCUAACACAUGCAAGUCGAACGGCAGCACAGUAAGAGCUUGCUCUUACGGGUGGCGAGUGGCGGACGGGUGAGGAAUACAUCGGAAUCUGCUUUUUCGUGGGGGAUAACGUAGGGAAACUUACGCUAAUACCGCAUACGACCUACGGGUGAAAGCAGGGGAUCUUCGGACCUUGCGCGUUUGAAUGAGCCGAUGUCGGAUUAGCUAGUUGGCGGGGUAAAGGCCCACCAAGGCGACGAUCCGUAGCUGGUCUGAGAGGAUGAUCAGCCACACUGGAACUGAGACACGGUCCAGACUCCUACGGGAGGCAGCAGUGGGGAAUAUUGGACAAUGGGCGCAAGCCUGAUCCAGCCAUACCGCGUGGGUGAAGAAGGCCUUCGGGUUGUAAAGCCCUUUUGUUGGGAAAGAAAAGCAGCGGGUUAAUACCCCGCUGUUCUGACGGUACCCAAAGAAUAAGCACCGGCUAACUUCGUG